rnacentral:rRNA from 1 species
CGUUAAUUUAUUAACUAUAAUUAUUAUUAGAUAUGAUCUUUAAAAUUAAAGAUUUUGGCGGUAUUUUAGUCUUUUCAGAGGAACCUGUUUCUUAAUCGAUAAUCCACGAUUAUUUUUACUUUACCUUUAAAUUUACAUAUCGUCGUAACUUAAAUAUUUUUAUAGAAAAAUAAUGUUUAUGAUUUUUUAUUAAAGAAAAAUUCAGAUCAAGGUGUAGUUUAUGGUAAAGUUUUAAUGGGUUACAUUGUAUUUAUAUCUGGGUUUUUAAUUUUAAAUUGAAAAUUAAAUUGGAUUGGAAGUAAUUUUUAAAUAUUUAUAGAAUGACUUAGCUCUAAAAUAUGCACACAUCGCC